rnacentral:tRNA from 1 species
GAUGUUAGGGUGAGCAAAGGACUGAAAAUCCUUGUGUCGGCGGUUCGAUUCCGUCCAUCACCA